rfam:Ipomoea nil DNA, scaffold: scaffold2283, cultivar: Tokyo-kokei standard.
GGGUGUUUGGUUUAGGGGUAUGAUUCUUGCUUUGGGUGCGAGAGGUCAUGAGUUCAAUUCUCAUAACACCCC